rnacentral:rRNA from 1 species
CCCGCCGAAUUUAAGCAUAUUAGUAAGCGGAGGAAAAGAAACUAACCAGGAUUUCCUUAGUAGCGGCGAGCGAACAGGAAUAUAGCCCAGCACUGAAUCCCGUUGUUUUAAUCGAUAACGGGAGAUGUGGUGUUCGGGAGGUUCCGCUUUCUCGUCGCGACGACUCCUGUCCAAGUUCGUCUUGAACGGGGCCGUUUUCCCGUAGAGGGUGCCAGGCCCGUAGCGACGGAGGGUCGCGGCGAGAGGGACGCUCCUUAGAGUCGGGUUGCUUGAGAGUGCAGCCCUAAGCGGGUGGUAAACUCCAUCUAAGGCUAAAUAUGACCGCGAGACCGAUAGCGAACAAGUACCGUGAGGGA